GAUGAAGAACGUAGCAAAAUGCGAUAAGUAAUGUGAAUUGCAGAAUUCAGUGAAUCAUCGAAUCUUUGAACGCACAUUGCGCCCGCUGGUAUUCCGGCGGGCAUGCCUGUUCGAGCGUCAUUUCAACCCUCAAGCCCCCGGGUUUGGUGUUGGGGAUCGGCUCUGCCCUUCUGGGCGGUGCCGCCCCCGAAAUACAUUGGCGGUCUCGCUGCAGCCUCCAUUGCGUAGUAGCUAACACCUCGCAACUGGAACGCGGCGCGGCCAUGCCGUAAAACCCCAACUUCUGAAUGUUGACCUCGGAUCAGGUAGGAAUACCCGCUGAACUUAAGCAUAUCAAUAAGCGAGGA
rnacentral:misc_RNA from 1 species